UCUUAAUAUGUCCAUGAUAUGAUCUAUGGGGCCGUAUUCUUGUCCGUGUUCGGCAUAUUUAGAUUUUGUUAAAACUGAUGUCGUGGACGUGUUCUUUAAAUAAGGUUUUAAAAUCCGUACCGGUUUGGCCAAUAUAUAGACCAGCUCGCAGCUUCCGCAUUUUUACUGGUUAUAUUUUAACUUUUGGUGCAUGUUGUUAUGAUCAUCUAGGAUGUUCGGCUGUGGAGAAGGAUUCGUCAAAAAUAAUUAUAAUAUCAUCUACGUAUCUAGUGAUAUAUUGCUGAUGGCAAUUCUAGAAUUUUCAAGUGAUGAGUUUGUGUGAUGGAGUACGGACAACUACGAUGUCAGGAGAGGAGCUUUUUGUAAUGUUUACAAAUGCAAAAAUAACGCAAUGGAAGUCAGAAAUAUUAUGGAGGGAUUUCAAAUAUAUUUUAGGAAAGAAAUGACGAAAAAUAGCAAGCAGUCUUUUUCUUUUUGAUCAGUUCUAAAGUCUUAGUAGUAUCAAAUAGCUGAUAAUGACAUUAUCUGUUCAUGCUAACUAGAUCCAACCAAUAUCCAAUAGAUGAAGAUUGUAUACUUGAAAUAAAAUGAUCCUGCAGACAA